rnacentral:rRNA from 1 species
CCUACGUGAGGCAGCAGUGAGGAAUAUUGGUCAAUGGGCGCGAGCCUGAACCAGCCAAGUAGCGUGAAGGAUGACUGCCCUACGGGUUGUAAACUUCUUUUAUAAAGGAAUAAAGUGAGGCACGUGUGCCUUUUUGUAUGUACUUUAUGAAUAAGGAUCGGCUAACUCCGUGCCAGCAGCCGCGGUAAUACGGAGGAUCCGAGCGUUAUCCGGAUUUAUUGGGUUUAAAGGGAGCGUAGAUGGGUUGUUAAGUCAGUUGUGAAAGUUUGCGGCUCAACCGUAAAAUUGCAAUUGAUACUGGCAGUCUUGAGUACAGUUGAGGUAGGCGGAAUUCGUGGUGUAGCGGUGAAAUGCUUAGAUAUCACGAAGAACUCCGAUUGCGAAGGCAGCUUACUAAACUGCCACUGACAUUGAUGCUCAAAAGUGUGGGUAUCAAACAGGAUUAGAUACCCCAGUAGUC